UCCAGACUCCUACGGGAGGCAGCAGUGGGGAAUAUUGCACAAUGGGGGAAACCCUGAUGCAGCGACGCCGCGUGAGCGAUGAAGUAUUUCGGUAUGUAAAGCUCUAUCAGCAGGGAAGAAGAUGACGGUACCUGACUAAGAAGCCCCGGCUAACUACGUGCCAGCAGCCGCGGUAAUACGUAGGGGGCAAGCGUUAUCCGGAUUUACUGGGUGUAAAGGGAGCGUAGACGGCGAUGCAAGCCAGAUGUGAAAGCCCGGGGCUCAACCCCGGGACUGCAUUUGGAACUGUGUGGCUGGAGUGCAGGAGGGGCAGGCGGAAUUCCUGGUGUAGCGGUGAAAUGCGUAGAUAUCAGGAGGAACACCGGUGGCGAAGGCGGCCUGCUGGACUGCGACUGACGUUGAGGCCCGAAAGCGUGGGGAGCAAACAGGAUUAGAUACCCGUGUAG
rnacentral:rRNA from 1 species